GUAUCUUGCCGAGACCGCCACUGGUAGCGAGAAGAAGAACGAACAGGGGUACCUCGCAGAAUUUGCAACGGGUAAUGACAGGAAGGCGGCUGCAGAGAAUUCCCUGGUCGCUUACAAGGCAGCCAGCGACAUUGCCAUGACAGAACUGCCCCCCACACACCCCAUCAGGCUGGGCCUUGCACUGAACUUCUCCGUGUUCUACUAUGAGAUUUUGAACAGCCCUGAGCGAGCGUGUCGCCUGGCCAAGGCGGCCUUUGAUGAUGCCAUUGCAGAAUUGGACACCUUAUCAGAGGAGAGCUACAAGGACUCCACCCUAAUCAUGCAGCUUCUGCGUGAUAACCUCACGUUAUGGACUUCUGACAUGCAGGGCGAAGCUGGUGAGGGCGAGCAGAAGGAGCUCUUGCAGGAUGUGGAGGACCAGGAUGUGAGCUAAUGUGGCGGUGGCGGCGGUGGUUCCUUCACCUCUCCACCACCACCACCACACCUCCACCACCUCCACCUCCACCUCCACCUCCACUACCACCAUUUACCCUGAAGGCAAUGGAGCUCCCACACCCUCCUCUCCAACACUGCCACAGCUGUCUGGGCCGACUGGAGUCCCUCUCACAACAACGGAGAGAAGCAGGCGUGACUUUCUCUUUUUUUAUAUAUAUAUAUAUAUAUAUGAGUAUGUACAUUUCUCUCUCGUUCACCGUUGUCUCUCUCCCUCCCUUUUACUGACUCAAAAAAGGGUCACUCCUUCCCCGGAGAUUUUUGCGGAAAUUUGCGUUUCGUAGGGAAGGGGUUGGAUGGUGUUUCGUCCGCUCGUUUUCUCUUUUCCUUCUUUCUUGCCAUCUCACUUGCCGCAGACAUUUGCUAGAACCCUCGGCUGAGUGAGAGCUGCUCUGGCAGGAAGGCCAGAGUGUCACACCCACUCAAGCAGCACAGGGUGUGUCAAGGGAGCAGUGGAUAAUGCAUUUCCUGUCUCCUUUUUUCUGGUCUUGUUCUGUGUUUACAUAGUUUGUGGUCAUUGGCCAGGGCACUUUGGUUGCAUUCCUUGCACUGAGUGACAAGGCUGGGAGCUCCACUGUCAUGUUGGGAAAGGAUUUGGCGCAUCAUUCCAGUCCUAUGUCCUAAGUUAACACAUUUUUCAUCACACUUUGUGUUUGAAAAGAUUAUUCAUUGCAUCAUUUGUUGUGUAUUUAUUAUUGAUAUUGGUACAUGAUAAGAAGUUUAAAUGAUAGGUAGGUUAAUUACUUUUCUCCUGUUUCCUUGUUUUCCACUUUUUCUGUUCUUGAAAUUUUAUUUUUAAUACUAUAUACACACACCUCCUCCUGUCCCUCUCUCCUCCUUCCCUCGUCCCCAAAGCAUGGCUUUGAGGCCCUAGACAAAAGCCAUUCAGCGUUGCCCUCUAGCAUCCGCAGUCACAAGAAGUGGAUGUUGAGGGUUCUUCCCUGGGCUCCAUACUUGUCUGUCUGGCCUGGGGUUCCUGCGCUGGGUGGAGCCUCCUGGUCACUGCAGGCUCCUUUCCCCUUCGAAGACAUUGCUUGCCUCCUCCUCCUCCUCCUCCCCUACCCCCUACCCUGUACCCCCUACCCCAGUACCCAAUGGAUCCCACUGGGUAGCAGGAGACCAGUGCAUGUCCUCAAGUUACAGGAGGUUUAAUACACAAAAAUUCUCAACUCUUUUGUAUUCUGAAAAAAAAAAAAAAAAGGAAAAAAGAUUUAUUUUUUUUUUAUUUCUUUCCCCUUACCAUACUGUGUGAAUGAGCUAAAGCGCAUCUUGGCACUUUUUUCCUGCUUGGGGAAGUAGCACAGUUGAGUUAACGUGGAAUCCUAACCAUCUUUCAUUGUUGGUCUCUCUCUUUCUCUCUCUCUAUCCCAGUUGUCUCGUUGUACUUGAAGAGUAAGCGUUUGUAUAUUGACGCUAAAUAUGUUUCACUAGGAGAAAUAAAAAAACAAAAAACAAAAAACAAAAAAAGGUUUGGCGUAAUGGAGGCGCAGAGGACCCAGCACAGGAGCCCCAAGUAGAACGCCCAAGAGAGAGCACUUCAGGGGCCCAACUUGAUUGGAAAUGUGAGGCCUGGCGGUAGGCAUUUGGACAAACUCUCGUAGAGUGUAGUAAGCCACCCCUGACCCCUUCCCUCCUGCCCCCUUCCCCCCAGGUACCAGUCUCUCCCACUGGCUGUCCCGAGCAGCUCUCCAUUUGCGCCACUUUAGUGUUUACUCUGUAGAGUUCGCGCUUCAUUACACUCGUGCGUUUCCCCAGCUGUGUGUGGUCAAGAGGUCACAAAAAUUGACCAGGCUGUUGAGCGCUGAAUUGGGCCGCUCAUUUUCCUAUAUUUCCAUAGACACAGAGAGGUAGCUUGAUUGUUGAAGAGCCACAGGGUGCGCGGGUGAGCGGGGCAGAGGGCUCCAGGCUGAAGAGGCAGCUUGGGGUCUUGCGGUGCCUCACCUGCAGCCCAGGUAUGGCCACAGACAGAGUGAGUCGAGCUGCUGUGAACACUUUUCUGUUGUGAUGACCUUGGCCGAAUGUAUUAUAUUGGACACAUUAACAGUCGACUCCCAUCAUCCACCAGUCAGUUAGUCUUUGUCUUUGUAAUAAGAGUCCAGCCACCUUGUGUACUAUCAUUUUAGCCCUCGUCCCCCUCCCCCUUCACCUUGUUGCGUUUGGGUUGCUUGGUGCUGCUUGAUGUUGUUUCUGCAAAAUGAUUUCCCUUGUUUAGUCAGACUUUUCACUCUAAUUUGGGGGCCAAAGAACAGGUAGUGAUACCUUGGUGUGUCCCGGCGAUUUCAUGGGCGGGAAAGGACACAGUGCUUCCCUUGGCAAAAAAGGGAAAAGACAGCUGCUGGUGAGGCAACUCAAUGGUUUCUAGCUGGCAGAGGAUGUGUUCUUGCAUCCCAUUGCCUUUCUGGCUUCUAAAUUUCACACCAAAAAAAAAAAAAAAAAAAAAAAAAAGUACUUGUGUAGGUGAAUGAGACAAAUGCCAGGUUUUCUGUGUGCCUCGAUCUGAUCUGGCCUGGGAGAGCCCCUCUGUGGUGCCCUGUUCCACCCACCUGAGUGUCCAGCAUACACCACGUCUCGUUCUGACCCAUCCCCAUUCCCCAUGCACCCCCCCCCCCCCAUUAGUUGGCCAUGAUUCCCUCGCAGCAGGAAGGUUCGAUUGCCAAGCAGAGACACACAUCUGAAUGAAGGUUUUCCUCUUUUUUUUUAUCAGUUUUUAAAGCUUAGGUCAAGGUGUGGAAGGAGGCGUCUGCGUGGUGUGCUUGCGAGGGACGAAGUGGCUCGACCUGAUUCGCCUCGCCCUCAUUAGGCCCUAGGGCGGAAAGUGGAGACGAGGGCGGCAGAGGCUGAGCUGCCUGUGGUGCUUCAGUCAGGCUUUUUCCACUGAACUUUAUUUGGUUAUUGGAGUUGGUCAUUCAUUCUCUGUUGUCUUUCCAUUGUAUUAUUAUUAUUAUCAUUGUUGUAAUUAUUAUUAUUGUUAUUACUAUUAUUAUUAUUAUUAUUAUUAUUAUUAUUAUUAUUAUUAUCAUCAUCAUUAUCAUUAUUGUUAUUAUUAUUAUUAUUAUUAUAACUACUAGAAAUAGUUAUUUCAGUUGGUACUAUUGUUAUAAAAAGAAUCUUACAAUAAUUUCAUUAUCGUUAUUGUGAUUAUCAUAGUACCCUUCACAGCCUCUAAGGGAACAGUCCCAGAUGCAUCCCUAUGCGAGGCGGCUCGCAGAUUGUGUCGGGACCAGAUUUGUAUCUCCCCAAACAUUCCAGAAAGCACUUUGGUAUAACCGCCAUGGAAGCAGCCAAGCAAUUGUUUUACUUUUGUUAUUAUUAUCUUAAUUAUAUGAGUUUGUUGUAUGAUUUUUUUUUAUUAUUAUUAUUUUAAAAAAUUUUGCUAUCACUGUCAACAGAUAGCACUCAUAACCCUUCUUGGUGCUAGCAGAUACCUAUGCCUCCAAUGGCUGUCAUGUGGCAAUAAAACAAAACUGGAAAAUACCUUGAAAUAUUCGCCCUCAAAGCAAAAGAAUAUAGAUAAAUAGAUCAAUAAAAUAAUGGCAACUGACACAGGUGUAGCUUGGUAAAUUACAUGCAGGUUUAAGACAUAAGUAAUUAAAUAUAAAACUAUUUAAAAAAAAGAUUCAUACACACACUACAACAAAAAAAUAAACCAAAAAAAACAUAAAAAAAAAAUAAAAAAUAAAAAAAAUUCUUCAAGAAAAUGGCUUAAUUAGAGUUUGUAAUUUUAGUGUGACCCCCACUCCCCUCCUCCCCCUUCCACACCCCUCUCUCUCUCUCUUUGAAAAAAGAAGGUAAAAACAGUUGUAAACAGUUUCAAAGAUCUAGGAAGAGUUGAGCAUUGUGCUGGCUUACUCAUUCUGUUCAGGCUCUGCCCCACACUGUCCAGCUCGGCCUCGGAGUGCCACGUGUGGCCGCUUGUGUGAGAGGUUCCCUUGAGAGGAGAGAGGACUGUGGCUGCCUCCGGGCCUGAGGAACAGGUGUGUCGGCAGGGGACAGAAGUCUGUGUAAACAAAACAACGGAUAACUGGAUGGUGUAGUAGAUGUAUCAAUAGGAAUAAACAACUUGAAUACAAAAGUAAAUAUUUAUAUGUAUAAAGAAAACACCUGGCACAAUAAUAAUAAUAAUAAUAAUAAUACCUGUCGCUGCAGUCCACGAUUGGAACGACUUGACGUGUUGUAUUUUUUACUACAAUACCAGUGAACUAAAUAGAUGCUAUACACCAGGAGUUGUGAAUCUUGCUAGAAUGUUGACCCCCUCUAUGUAAAUACCAAAUUGUGAUAGGCAAAGCACACGUGUCAAUGCACUUGCAUGUCAAAAGUGUUUGAUUAAACCUCAUAUUCUCUAA
rnacentral:misc_RNA from 1 species